rnacentral:rRNA from 1 species
GACGAACGCUGGCGGCGUGCUUAACACAUGCAAGUCGAGCGGUAAGGCCCUUUCGGGGGUACACGAGCGGCGAACGGGUGAGUAACACGUGGGUGACCUGCCCUCAGCUCUGGGAUAGGCCUGGGAAACCGGGUCUAAUACCGGAUAUGACUCCAUGACGCAUGUUGUGGGGUGGAAAGCCUUGUGCGGCUGAGGAUGGGCCCGCGGCCUAUCAGCUUGUUGGUGGGGNGAUGGCCUACCAAGGCGACGACGGGUAGCCGGCCUGAGAGGGCGACCGGCCACACUGGGACUGAGACACGGCCCAGACUCCUACGGGAGGCAGCAGUGGGGAAUCUUGCGCAAUGGGCGAAAGCCUGACGCAGCGACGCCGCGUGAGGGAUGACGGCCUGGU